rnacentral:tRNA from 1 species
CGGGGCGUAGCGCAGUCUGGUCAGCGCGACUGGUUUGGGACCAGUAGGUCGGGGGUUCAAAUCCCUCCGCCCCGACCA